UCCCCACUGGCAAUCCACCUGCUGGAGCUGCUCAGCACUGAGGAUCCCCGUUGGGAACUGCCUGCCCUGGAGUUCCUUGUGGAGGUCCUGGACUUCCUGGAUGGAAGGAGAUGUCACAGCAGUGUCGAGCAGAUCCUGUCAAGGCACCUUCAGAGUGAGUGUCCAGAGAGACGUGGCCUGGCUCUCCGAGGCUGCAUGGUGCUCUGGAUGGAUCUGUCAAUGGCCAAAAAUAUCUGCAGCCUGUCCCAACACCUCCUGGAGCUGC